AGCCACACCCAAGUGCAAGUGCCUGAUAGCAUCUGAUCUCAGAAUCUAAGUACCUGGUUAGUGUUUGGAUGAGAGACCAACUCGGACGACCAGGGGUGGCUA
rnacentral:rRNA from 12 species